CACUCCCAAUCUCAACAACGAUUCGCUUCAACCUUCUAUCGUUUUCAAAUCUCACCACUUUCCAUUCUUCAAGGUUUGUUUUUUUCUAACCUCUUUUUAUCUUUCUUAAUUUGGGGUGUUUUCAACUCUAACUGGCCUCAACAUAAACCUCUCGCUCCCAAUUUUGAAUCUUUUUGGGUUUUUCUUUCUGGGUUUGGUUCAUUUUUUAUGGGUUUUGCUUUUUGUUACUUAAUUAUGAUUUAUCUUGUGCCUGGAAAAUUUUUGAUUGAAAAAGGAGGGUUUUUUUCCUUUCUGAUUUACAUAUGUUGCAUGUCCUUCUUGAAUAUCUUGGUCUAA